rnacentral:rRNA from 1 species
AUGGGCAGGUGGCCUCCGCCCCCAUCUCUCCCAUGGCGCCCCUGGAGGGGCGACUUCUGCUUCAGACCUAGGCCGAGGUCGCUGGGCGAGCUGGGCCCCGAGUCGGCGUUGGCUGGGGGAGCUUCACCGGUUCUGCCGACGAUGCAGGGCGGCGCCCCGACUAUUUCAGCUCAGUUGAGCCCUAUUGGGGGUUGGGCAGGAGGCCUUACCCCGAAUGGGGUCUCGCGGGACGACAUCAUCGCUUUUGGAGGGAUUUCGGAUCCUGUGUCCGAAGGUCGACGGAUGAGCUAUCGCCUUCAGGAUCAGCCGGAUGUUGAUGACAUGCACCUAAGGUGCGCCAUGCGGGCGGCCAAGCUUCGUGACAUCGAGGUCACUACUGGUCAUAGAUCGGGCUUGGAGGUGCUCGAUUUUCUCGUGAAGCUUGAAGAUGGCCUCCCCAAUGUUCUUGGCAUCUAG